rnacentral:rRNA from 1 species
CUAAAAAUCUAGCCUUCCCCCGCCCCCCUUUUUUUAAAAAUCUUAACUAAAAUAUUCUAAAAGCCCAGUAAAGAAGAUUAAAAACCUUUUAAGAGCUAUAAACUUGUACCGCAAGGGAUAGAUGAAAUAAAAAUGAAACAAAUCUUAAGCACAAAAAAGUAGAGAUUCACCCUUGUACCUUUUGCAUCAUGGUUUAGCCAGUCUAAUUAGGCAAAGAGAUCUUAAGUCUAACCCCCCGAAACUAAGUGAGCUAUUUUAAGGCUGCUUACUGAGCUAACCCGUCUAUGUUGCAAAAUAGUGGGAAGACCUUAAAAUAGAGGUGACAAAUCUAACGAACUUAGUUAUAGCUGGUUUCUCAAGAAAAGAAUUUUAGUCCAACCUAAAGAAAACUUAAACACCCUAAUUAAUCUUAUAACUUUAGAGCAAUUCAAAUGAGGUACAGCCCAUUUGAUACAGGAUACAACCUUCACUAACGGGUAACACUCAAAACUGCACUUUAAAGUGGGCCUAAAAGCAGCCAUCUUUAAAAAAGCGUCAUAGCUUAACCGAGCCUUAUAAAUUCAAAAAUUUACACAGACCCCUUUAAUAAUACUGAGAACUUCUAUAAUCCUAUAGAACCUUUUAUGCUAAAACUAAUAACAAGAGAAAAUCCCUCUCCCAAUGCAAACCUAAGCCAGCAAGAACCCCUCACUGACAAUUAACAGAUAAAGAAGUAGCAACUACCCAAGAAAACUCUACCCACAUCAACUGUUAACCUAACACUAGAGCAUUUCAAGAAAGAUUAAAAGAGAAAGAAGGAACUCGGCAAACACUAGCCCCGCCUGUUUACCAAAAACAUCGCCUCUUGCCAUCAUAAGAGGUCCAGCCUGCCCAGUGACUUUAUUUAACGGCCGCGGUAUUCUAACCGUGCAAAGGUAGCGUAAUCACUUGUCUUCUAAAUAAAGACUAGUAUGAAAGGCACCACGAAGACUAAGCUGUCUCCUUUCUCCAAUCAGUGAACCUAAUCUCCCCGUGAAGAAGCGGGGAUCCUACUAUAAGACGAGAAGACCCUAUGGAGCUUAAAACAUCAUAACAUUUGCCACCACCUGCAACCACCCCGGUCUACCUAUUAACAGCAUUCUGAUUAUAUGUUUUUGGUUGGGGUGACCGCGGAGAAAAACUUAUCCUCCACAGUAAGGGGCCUCCCCCCAAGCGAUAAGUCACAACUUUAUGCAUCAAAAUUUGACAUUUAUUGACCCAACAAAUUGAUUAACGAACCAAGUUACCCUAGGGAUAACAGCACAAUCCACUUUGAGAGCCCAUAUCGACAAGUGGGCUUAUGACCUCGAUGUUGGAUCGGGAUAUCCUAGUGGUGCAACCGCUACUAAAGGUUCGUUUGUUCAACGAUUAAAACCCCACGUGAUCUGAGUUCAGACCGGAGCAAUCCAGGUCAGUUUCUAUCUAUAAAGCGCUAAUUUCAGUACGAAAGGACCAAAAUAGCAUGGUCUAUGCCCCCUGUAAACCAUAUUUAAUCAUUUUUAGACCCCCUCUUAAAAAAUAAUUAACCCUCCCACCCACCUCAAGAAAGAGCA